rnacentral:rRNA from 1 species
UGGGGAAUAUUGGACAACGGGCGAAAGCCUGAUCCAGCCAUGCCGCGUGAGUGACGAAGGCCUUAGGGUUGUAAAGCUCUUUUGGCGGGGAAGAUAAUGACGGUACCCGCAGAAUAAGCUCCGGCUAACUUCGUGCCAGCAGCCGCGGUAAUACGAAGGGAGCUAGCGUUGUUCGGAAUCACUGGGCGUAAAGCGCACGUAGGCGGAUUUGCCAGUCAGGGGUGAAAUCCCGGGGCUCAACCUCGGAACUGCCCUUGAUACAGCAAGUCUUGAGUUCGAGAGAGGUGGGUGGAAUUCCUAGUGUAGAGGUGAAAUUCGUAGAUAUUAGGAAGAACACCGGUGGCGAAGGCGGCCCACUGGCUCGAUACUGACGCUGAGGUGCGAAAGCGUGGGGAGCAAACAGGAUUAGAUACCCCAGUAGUCCCUGAGCGGGCUGGCAAGGCGCAU